rnacentral:rRNA from 1 species
UUAGGAAUCUUGGACAAUGGGCGCAAGCCUGAUCCAGCCAUGCCGCGUGAGUGAUGAAGGCCUUAGGGUUGUAAAGCUCUUUCAGCGGGGAAGAUAAUGACGGUACCCGCAGAAGAAGCCCCGGCUAACUUCGUGCCAGCAGCCGCGGUAAUACGAAGGGGGCUAGCGUUGCUCGGAAUCACUGGGCGUAAAGCGCACGUAGGCGGAUCUUUAAGUCAGGGGUGAAAUCCUGGAGCUCAACUCCAGAACUGCCUUUGAUACUGGGGAUCUCGAGUCCGGAAGAGGUGAGUGGAACUCCGAGUGUAGAGGUGAAAUUCGUAGAUAUUCGGAAGAACACCAGUGGCGAAGGCGGCGCACUGGACCGAGACUGACGCUGAGGCACGAAAGCGUGGGGAGCAAACAGGAUUAGAUACCCCCGUAGUCC